CCAAUAGCGUAUAUUAAAGUUGUUGCAGUUAAAAAGCUCGUAGUUGAAUUUCGGGGUUCAUCCGUUGGUCGGGCUUUUUGGUCUGUACUGGCGUGAUGGAUUCCUACCUUCUGAAUAACCGGCAUGUCAUUAAUUUGGUGCGCCGGGGAAGCAGGACUGUUACCUUGAAAAAAUUAGAGUGCUUAAAGCCGGCUAUCGCCUGAAUACAUUAGCAUGGAAUAAUGAAAUAGGACGGCAUGGUUCUAUUUUGUUGGUUUCUAGGAUCACCGUAAUGAUUAAUAGGGAUAGUUGGGGGCAUUAGUAUUCAAUUGUCAGAGGUGAAAUUCUUGGAUUUAUUGAAGACUAACUUCUGCGAAAGCAUUUGCCAAGGAUGUUUUCAUUAAUCAAGAACGAAAGUUAGGGGAUCGAAGACGAUCAGAUACCGUCGUAGUCUUAACCAUAAACUAUGCCGACUAGGGAUCGGACGAUGUUAAUUUUUUAAUGACUCGUUCGGCGCCUUACG
rnacentral:rRNA from 1 species